rnacentral:ncRNA from 1 species
GUCUGGUUAAUUCCGAUAACGAACGAGACUCUGGCUUGCUAAAUAGUUACGCGACCAUCCCGGGUCGGCGUUUAAUUCUUAGAGGGACAAGUGGCGUUUAGCCACACGAGAUUGACAAUAACAGGUCUGUGAUGCCCUUAGAUGUUCGGGGCCGCACGCGCGCUACACUGACCGGAUCAGCGUGUGCUCUCCUUGGCCGACAGGUCCGGGAAACCCGUUGAACCCCGGUCGUGCUAGGGAUAGGGAAUUGCAAUUAUUUCCCUUGAACGAGGAAUUCCCAGUAAGCGCGAGUCAUUAGCUCGCGUUGAUUACGUCCCUGCCCUUUGUACACACCGCCCGUCGCUACUACCGAUUGAAUGGUUUAGUGAGGUCCUCCGAUUGGACCCGGUCCGGGCGGCGACGUCCGAGCCGGCGUCCGAGAAGACGAUCUAACUUGAUCAUUUAGAGGAAGUAAAAGUCGUAACAAGGUUUCCGUAGGUGAACCUGCGGAAGGAUCAUUA